rnacentral:tRNA from 1 species
GGAAAGGUGGCCGAGCGGUUGAAGGCGCCAGUCUUGAAAACUGGAGUACCUUAACGGGUACCGUGGGUUCGAAUCCCACCCUUUCCGCAA